UCCCCUGUCCAACACCAUGCCAGUGUCACCAGACAGUCUCAUCAAAGUGGUCAUUGAAGUGGCACAAGAGAAAGAUUAGGAAAGCAACAGGAAACGCUACAUAAAAACCGGGGCAAUCAGCACUUUGACGACGGUGGCCGGUGCAGUCAUCGGUGAUGUUGCCGGGGCAGGAGUUGAAAUUCCAUGAUACCCUUCAAAGGUGCUGAAAUUGGAUCAAGCGAUCGUUCACAACACCAGCGAUUCCAUGUCUUCCAGGCUGAUUGAUAUUGUUUGUGAGUUGAGCCUCUACAACUGGCCAACAUGACUUGGGAAUGCUGAUUUCCUGAAGUUAAUAAAUACACGAUGCAACAGGCCGGGAAGGUGGACACCAAGAUGUAGUAGGCAGUUCAAUUUA